rnacentral:rRNA from 1 species
CCCUUAGAUGUUCUGGGCCGCACGCGCGCUACACUGAUGCAUUCAACGAGCCUAUCCUUGACCGACAGGUCCGGGUAAUCUUUGAAUCUGCAUCGUGACGGGGAUAGAUUAUUGCAAUUAUUAAUCUUCAACGAGGAAUGUCUAGUAGGCGCAAGUCAUCAGCUUGCGUCGAUUACGUCCCUGCCCUUUGUACACACCGCCCGUCGCUACUACCGAUUGAACGGUUUAGUGAGGGCCUCGGAUUGGUCUCGGCCCGCUCUUUACCGGGCGGCGCCGUUGGUCGAGAAGACGCUCGAACUUGAUCGUUUAGAGGAAGUAAAAGUCGUAACA